rnacentral:rRNA from 1 species
GACGAACGCUGGCGGCGUGCUUAACACAUGCAAGUCGAACGGAAAGGCCCUGCUUUUGUGGGGUGCUCGAGUGGCGAACGGGUGAGUAACACGUGAGUAACCUGCCCUUGACUUUGGGAUAACGUCAGGAAACUGGGGCUAAUACCGGAUAGGAGCUCCUGCUGCAUGGUGGGGGUUGGAAAGUUUCGGCGGUUGGGGAUGGACUCGCGGCUUAUCAGCUUGUUGGUGGGGUAGUGGCUUACCAAGGGUUUGACGGGUAGCCGGCCUGAGAGGGUGACCGGCCACAUUGGGACUGAGAUACGGCCCAGACUCCUACGGGAGGCAGCAGUGGGGAAUAUUGCACAAUGGGCGGAAGCCUGAUGCAGCAACGCCGCGUGCGGGAUGACGGCCUUCGGGUUGUAAACCGCUUUCGCCUGUGACGAAGCGUGAGUGACGGUAAUGGGUAAAGAAGCACCGGCUAACUACGUG